GUUUAUAGCCAUACCUCCCUGAGAACGCCCGCUCUCUUCCUGGAAGCUAAGCAGGUUUGGCCUGGUUAGUACUUAGAGGUGAGAUUACCUUGAGAUACCAGUCGUUGUUCUACU
rnacentral:rRNA from 1 species